AUGCACGCUGGCGGCGUGCCUAAUACAUGCAGGUCGAGCGAACGGACGAGAAGCUUGCUUCUCUGAUGUUAGCGGCGGACGGGUGAGUAACACGUGGAUAACCUACCUAUAAGACUGGGAUAACUUCGGGAAACCGGAGCUAAUACCGGAUAAUAUUUUGAACCGCAUGGUUCAAAAGUGAAAGACGGUCUUGCUGUCACUUAUAGAUGGAUCCGCGCUGCAUUAGCUAGUUGGUAAGGUAACGGCUUACCAAGGCAACGAUGCAUAGCCGACCUGAGAGGGUGAUCGGCCACACUGGAACUGAGACACGGUCCAGACUCCUACGGGAGGCAGCAGUAGGGAAUCUUCCGCAAUGGGCGAAAGCCUGACGGAGCAACGCCGCGUGAGUGAUGAAGGUCUUCGGAUCGUAAAACUCUGUUAUUAGGGAAGAACAUAUGUGUAAGUAACUGUGCACAUCUGGACUGUACCUAAGCAGAAAGCCACGGCUAACUACGG
rnacentral:rRNA from 1 species